rnacentral:lncRNA from 1 species
AGUAAGCUUUAUUCGAUCAUUUAAUUGAGAAUUAUAUAUGAUGAUGAUCAAUCUAUUGAAUCAACUUAGUUAUUUUGAUCAUCAGCUACGGUUAUGACCCUUUCGGUCUGGGAAAGAAGCCGGAGAACUUCGAAAAGUACCAAGCAUUUGAGCUGCUCCAUUGCCGUUGGGCUAUGCUCGGAGCUGCCGGUGCAAUAAUCCCUGAAGCAUUCAACAAAUUCGGUGCAUCAUGUGGUCCUGAAGCAGUAUGGUUCAAGACCGGUGCUCUCCUCCUCGACGGAAAUACUUUGAAUUACUUCGGAAAAAGC